rnacentral:lncRNA from 1 species
UGAUAUCAAAGUUGCUUUUUUAUUGUGAAGAUAAUGUCAAGUAACAGAUAAGUUUUUUGAGUCUUAACUUCAUAACAGGUCAUUUUUGCAACAACAUGAAGCAUAUCCACCCAUGAAUGAAUAAUCUACUGCACAUAGUUUAAGGUUUUACAGCAAAUAGUUUGGCAACCUACAUGUCAUCAUUCAACUUGCACGAUGCACCUUCUUCGCUUUCGAGCCUCCCAACCGUUUUUGUCAUAAUCCGAUAGCAUAUAAAAAUGACACCGAUUUGUUUGAGGUUACCUGUUGACUAAAGGAGAAAGGAAUUCCAACUCUCUUUGAACCAUCGGCCAUCCUUUUACGAGAGUAACGGUCUUCUAACGGAGCAUAACCACUUGAGACCUGAUAACAGUUUGAACUGCUUGAAUUAAUACAUCUUGGCAACCAACAGCAUGCACACUUUCC